rnacentral:Y_RNA from 1 species
GGUUGGUCCGAUGGCAGUGAGUUAUCAGAACUUAUUAACAUUAGUGUCACUAAAGUUGGUAUACAACCCCCCCACACUAAAUUUGACAGGUUAAAA